GACGAACGCUGGCGGCGUGCUUAACACAUGCAAGUCGAACGGAAAGGCCCUGCUUUUGUGGGGUGCUCGAGUGGCGAACGGGUGAGUAACACGUGAGUAACCUGCCCUUGACUUUGGGAUAACUUCAGGAAACUGGGGCUAAUACCGGAUAGGAGCUCCUGCUGCAUGGUGGGGGUUGGAAAGUUUCGGCGGUUGGGGAUGGACUCGCGGCUUAUCAGCUUAUUGGUGGGGUAGUGGCUUACCAAGGCUUUGACGGGUAGCCGGCCUGAGAGGGUGACCGGCCACAUUGGGACUGAGAUGCGGCCCAGACUCCUACGGGAGGCAGCAGUGGGGAAUAUUGCACAAUGGGCGGAAGCCUGAUGCAGCAACGCCGCGUGCGGGAUGACGGCCUUCGGGUUGUAAACCGCUUUCGCCUGUGACGAAGCGUGAGUGACGGUAAUGGGUAAAGAAGCACCGGCUAACUACGUG
rnacentral:rRNA from 1 species